GAUGGUGCACAAAAUCUUGUCCCCAAUCUAUGCCUGCCUUUGAACUGUGCCUUCUAUUUUCCAGAAGCUAUGAAUGUUAAUCCGCAGCGAUAUCUCCAGGCACUCUUUCUAGCAUGCCAGAACUCAGCGGAGGCAUCACUUGGAAGGAAAAACGUAACUUUGGUGAA